AUCAACCGAGAUUCCCCCAGUAGCGGCGAGCGAACGGGGAGCAGCCCAGAGUCUGAAUCAGCUUGUGUGUUAGUGGAAGCGUCUGGAAAGUCGCAGGGUACAGGGUGAUACUCCCGUACACGAAAAUGCACAGGUUGUGAACUCGAAGAGUAGGGCGGGACACGUGGUAUCCUGUCUGAAUAUGGGGGGACCAUCCUCCAAGGCUA
rnacentral:rRNA from 1 species